rnacentral:lncRNA from 1 species
GCUGCAAGGAAAUCUGGCGCGGUUCAAUACCUCGUCUAGCCUGGGUUCCAGUAUCUAAUUUUUUUUUUGUUUUAACUGACAAACUCAUUUCUCUACUGGGACAGGAUGCUGUGCUGGCUGGAAGUUCCAUUUCUACAGCAAGAAUCCUAUCUGGAAACACAGAAGUUGUCCUCUAGCCACAGCAGCUCGAACUUUUUUGAUUGUCGUUGCUGCUUUCUCCCAUCACCCCCAUCCCCUUUUGACAAAGAUCCAACUGUAAAAAGUCUUACGUAACAGUUCAGGACUACUUCGGUUCUUUUACUGGAUGGAGUCUCGCUCUGUCACCCAGGCUGGAGUGCAGUGGUGUGAUCUCGGCUCACUGCAACCUCUGCCUCCUGGGUUCAACUGAUCCUCUCACCUCAGCCUCCAAAGUAGCUGGAACAACAGGCACUCACCACCACGCCUGGCUAAUUUUUGUAUUUCUAGUAGAGAUGUGGUUUUGACAUGUUGGCCAAGCUGUCUCGAAUUCCUGACCUCAAGUGAUCCGCCCACCUCAGCCUCCCAAGUAGCUGGGACCACAGGCACGUACCACCAUGCCUGGAUAAUUUUUUGUAUUUUUAGUAGAGACAGGAUUUUGCCAUGUGGCCCAGGCUGGUCUCAAACUCCUGACCUCAAGUGAUCCACCCGCCUCAGCCUCCCAAAGUGUUGGGAUUAUAGGCGUGAGCCACCGCACCCGGCCUGAAAUCUUUCUUCACUUAAAAUAUUGUGGCCAUCUUUCCAUAUCGAUAUAUCAGAACCACCUUCCAAAGAACUGGCUCAAACAGAAAAGAAAGCAAAGAGUCAAGAAUGAUGCCAAACUUUCCUGACUAGAUUAGGAGCCUGGAGUGUACUAAGAAAGAAAUGGGCAAUUUCACAAUGGAAGAAAGAGGAUUCCACUUUUGGAACAGAUAUCAGAACAAGGAAUGCACAUUUAUGAUUCAUAAGCAUGGAUCUGAGAAAGAAUGAUCUAAGUGCAGAAAGAAAAAGGUAACAAAUACUUAUUGGACACCUAGUGUAUACCUGGACUGCAACAGGAGCCAGGAGACAUGGAAGAAACAAAAGUAUAUAACGUAAAAGGCAGAACUAAUUCUAACGAACAAAUAGCUAAUUGCAAGUGUGAAGAGCUCUGCAGAAGAUAAAAGUAAGGUACUAUGAGAGCAAAUAAUAGGAGGGACCAAUCCAGUCUUGGUGGUAAGAAGGGUCAGGGAACUUCCUUGAGGAAGUGAUGUAUAAGUAAAGACUUCAAGGGUAUGUGUAACUACCUUGGUGAAAUAGAGUAAGCAUUCCAAGCAUAGAGAAUGGAUGGUAUGUUGUGUAGGCCAAAGAAGCAGUGUUUUUACAAAACAGAAAUUGUGACUAAAGCACAUAAAAAGAUGGUGAAAAAGUCAUGAGACAAGGCCAGAAA